rnacentral:piRNA from 1 species
UGGUGAUGAGGAUAUGAGAUGCACAGU